rnacentral:rRNA from 1 species
ACCAUAGGGGGUAGAGCACUGUUUCGGCUAGGGGGUCAUCCCGACUUACCAAACCGAUGCAAACUCCGAAUACCUAUGAGUACUAUCCGGGAGACAGACUGCGGGUGCUAACGUCCGUAGUCAAGAGGAAAACAAUCCAGACCGCCAGCUAAGGCCCCAAAAAUCAUAGUUAAGUGGGAAACGAUGUGGGAAGGCAUAGACAGCUAGGAGGUUGGCUUAGAAGCAGCCACCCUUUAAAGAAAGCGUAAUAGCUCACUAGUCGAGUCGGCCUGCGCGGAAGAUGUAACGGGGCUAAAACUAUGUGCCGAAGCUGCGGAUGUAUACUUUGUAUACGUGGUAGGGGAGCGUUCUGUAAGCCGAUGAAGGUGUGUUGAGAAGCAUGCUGGAGGUAUCAGAAGUGCGAAUGCUGACGUGAGUAACGACAAAACGGGUGAAAACCCGUUCGCCGAAAGACCAAGGGUUCCAGUCCAACGUUAAUCGGGGCUGGGUGAGUCGACCCCUAAGGCGAGGCCGAAAGGCGUAGUCGAUGGGAAAAUGGUUAAUAUUCCAUUACUUCUGUGUAAUGCGAUGAGAGGACGGAGAAGGCUAAAUCAGCCUGGCGUUGGUUGUCCAGGUGAAAGGAUGUAGGCAUGUAUCUUAGGCAAAUCCGGGGUACUCUAUGCUGAGAUCUGAUAGCAAGCUGUACUUGUACAGCGAAGUGGUUGAUGCCAUGCUUCCAGGAAAAGUCUCUAAGCUUCAGUUACACAGGAAUCGUACCCGAAACCGACACAGGUGGUCAGGUCGAGUAGACCAAGGCGCUUGAGAGAACUCUGCUGAAGGAACUAGGCAAAAUGGUACCGUAACUUCGGGAGAAGGUACGCUGUUGUUGGUGAUGGAACUCGCUUCCUGAGCUGACGACAGCCGCAGAAACCAGGCCGCUGCAACUGUUUAUUAAAAACAUAGCACUCUGCAAACACGAAAGUGGACGUAUAGGGUGUGAUGCCUGCCCGGUGCUGGAAGGUUAAUUGAUGGGGUUAGCGUAAGCGAAGCUCUUGAUCGAAGCCCCAGUAAACGGCGGCCGUAACUAUAACGGUCCUAAGGUAGCGAAAUUCCUUGUCGGGUAAGUUCCGACCUGCACGAAUGGCAUAAUGAUGGCGGCGCUGUCUCCAGCAGAGGCUCAGUGAAAUCGAAAUCGCUGUGAAGAUGCAGUGUACCCGCGGCUAGACGGAAAGACCCCGUGAACCUUUACUGCAGCUUGACACUGAACUUUGACCUUACUUGUGUAGGAUAGGUGGGAGGCUUUGAAGCUGGAACGCUAGUUCCAGUGGAGCCGUCCUUGAAAUACCACCCUGGUAAUGUUGAGGUUCUAACUCUGUCCCGUGAUCCGGGACGAGGACCGUGUCUGGUGGGUAGUUUGACUGGGGCGGUCUCCUCCUAAAGAGUAACGGAGGAGUACGAAGGUGCGCUCAGCGUGGUCGGAAAUCACGCGUAGAGUAUAAAGGCAAAAGCGCGCUUAACUGCGAGACCCACAAGUCGAGCAGGUACGAAAGUAGGUCUUAGUGAUCCGGUGGUUCUGUAUGGAAGGGCCAUCGCUCAACGGAUAAAAGGUACUCUGGGGAUAACAGGCUGAUACCGCCCAAGAGUUCAUAUCGACGGCGGUGUUUGGCACCUCGAUGUCGGCUCAUCUCAUCCUGGGGCUGAAGCAGGUCCCAAGGGUAUGGCUGUUCGCCAUUUAAAGAGGUACGCGAGCUGGGUUUAGAACGUCGUGAGACAGUUCGGUCCCUAUCUACCGUGGGCGCUGGAAAUUUGAGAGGAUCUGCUCCUAGUACGAGAGGACCAGAGUGGACGAACCUCUGGUGUACCGGUUGUGACGCCAGUCGCAUCGCCGGGUAGCUAUGUUCGGAAGGGAUAACCGCUGAAAGCAUCUAAGCGGGAAGCCUACCUCAAGAUAAGAUUUCCCUAGGACUUUAUGUCCUCUAAAGAGCCGUUCGAGACUAGGACGUUGAUAGGUUGGAUGUGGAAGCAUAGUGAUAUGUGAAGCUGACCAAUACUAAUUGCUCGUGAGGCUUGACU